rnacentral:rRNA from 1 species
CAAUGGCGCAUACAGAGGGAGGCGAGCCCGCAGGGGGAGCAAAUCCCUAAAAAGGCGUCCCAGUUCGGAUUGUAGUCUGCAACCCGACUACAUGAAGCCGGAAUCGCUAGUAAUCGCGGAUCAGAAUGCCGCGGUGAAUACGUUCCCGGGUCUUGUACACACCGCCCGUCACACCAUGGGAGUCGGGAACACCCGAAGUCCGUAGCCUAACCGCAAGGGGGGCGCGGCCGAAGGUGGGUUCGAUAAUUGGGGUGAAGUCGUAACAAGGUACC